rnacentral:rRNA from 1 species
UGGUGAUAAUGCCAUAAAGGUAACACCCGUUCCCAUUCCGAACACGACGGUUAAGCUUUAUAGGGCCGAUGGUACUGCACGGGAGACUGUGUGGGAGAGUAGGACGUCGCCA